UCCGGUUGAGGAGGCGGUGGCGGUGCUGUGAAGGCCCAGGCCGGGCGGCUUCCUCUGCGUAAAGGCGCUGCCGAGCUGCUAACGGUGCGGUGAACGGAAGGGUCGCGCGAAGCCCGGCUCUGUGCGGCCGAGGGCCCGCGUUGCCAAUAAGAAGUGCGUUCUUUCGUAUCUUUGGCCAGGCGGGCUGCUGAAACGAGGUGUCGGAAAUGUCCUGGCGCGGUUCGAUGGCUGUGUUGGGUCCGGCCUGGCCCUGCCGUGCUGGAGGCCGGCAGCACGCAGAGAAGAGCAGCAUGAGGCCCUUGGCGGGGCUCCCUGUGUGCUCAGGAGGCGGUGAGAAGGCCGUGAGAGUGGUUUGGUGUUUGUCAUCAAAAGGUGAGAGUUGCUGCCAGCCUGUUACCGUAAUAUUUUCAUUUGUAGGGUAUUUAUCUUACCCGUGUCGUUUGGAGGAGCUGCAGUGGGUGCAGCUCAGUGUGAAUUCUGUGGGACUGAGUGAGCUGGCAGAGAUGGAGCUGGAUCCAGUGUAAGGCAUGAACAAAGGUGAUCCCUAGGUUGAAGUUUCACCAAGGAGGUCUCGGUCUGGAAUGUGGUUUAAUGGCACAGGUGAAGAUCUUGGAAAAGUAGAGCAUCUAUAAGUGUGUGAUAACCAUUGAGUCCUGGCCUGAAGCACCGAUUGAGCAGCUGGGGAAAGGACUGGUCAGCCCUGGAGCACAGAUGUCACUGAUUGGAAAUGCUGUGUGCUGACAAACCUAUGGAAUCCUGUCUUGUCAGAGUCCCUAUGGAGCUGGGCAGCAGUGCUGGGCUGAGCUCAGCUCACCAUGGUGGGAAGUGGUCGUGGGGAGCCGUGGUCAGUGUCCUGCUGGAAGAUGAAGAUACCCUGUUCUUGUCUGUACCUUCUGGUUUUCUACGUUUGAGUACAGAGAAGUCGAUGCUCAGCCAUUUGGGUAACCUAAAGCACGAAGAUCAUGAUGCUGGUAUUUACGAGGCCUGCACACCAGGACUGUGAGUGCAAUUGGAGCCAAAGGAGCCUUGCUGUUCUGCUGGGGCUUUAUGAAAACUUCAGGAGCAUUUGAAAAGUUCUACUCUAUCCAGUGGGAGGAAAAAAGGAAAUGUAGUUUUUAUGCUUCACAGAAUCGUUAGGUUUUAAUUUAGCACAAGUAUCCCAGACCAACACAGAGUAUUUCUUUCUUAGAGUCAAAAUAAGAAGCAUCUAUGGUAGAAAGAGAGUACUGUGCAAAACUUGCUCCAGUGGGUAUGAGAGCUUUUCAGUCUGACAGUUUAAGUAGCGAAGAUGAAAGUGAGGACAGUUCUUGGGCAGGGGACUCGAAGAGGAAUGUGAUUCAUGGGGCACAGGGGCUGGUGUAAUUAGCAGUGCAGCUGCUGCAGUGCCCUGUGCCAGUGCUAAAAAAGCCUGUCGUGGCCCGUGCUCUGCUGCUCGAGUGGCAGUGAUAACGAUGGCCGCAGCAGUGCCAGCUCCAGGCUGCUGUAUGGGAGUGGAGAGGUUUCUGCUAGGUUUCAAACUGGCAUAGAACCAUCAUAGGGUUUCCUGAGGUGUUCAGGCUGAGGAAAAACUCUGGAAUUGGAAGUGGCAGAGUUUUGUUUUGUGUUCUCUGUAAAAAAAAAAAUAGUAAAAGAGUAGUGAUACAGAGGGAUUGAAUUAAUCUGGUGAUGAGUAAAACCUGUCAAAUUCAGGCAAGGAAAAACCAAAGACUUGAACACCUUCAGUUUUAACAUUUUCAGCAUGUGAGGUUUUAUUUCUGUAAUAAAUGCAUAUGUUUCAGUGAGUGUCCUAUUAAAUGAGGUUUAAAACUU